rnacentral:antisense_RNA from 1 species
CUUCACCGACCCCAGCCACAGCGGCUCGUCGGCCGACCGCUCCCGACCGUAGGUGGCCAACAGCGCCUGCGCCUC